rnacentral:miRNA from 1 species
UUCAUGUUCAGACACUUGGCGC